AGAGAGAGACAUGCGCGCAUAUCAAUAAGCGGAGGAAAAGAAACUAACUAGGAUUCCCUCAGUAACGGCGAGUGAAGCGGGAAGAGCUCAAAUUUGAAAUCUUCAAGGGUUCUACCUUUACGAAUUGUAGUUUAAAGAAGUGUUUUCUGUUGGAGUUUUGGUAAAAGUUCUUUGGAAUAGGACAUCAUAGAGGGUGAGAAUCCCGUAUUUGACCAUUAUUUCCAGCUUUGUGAUACACUUUCAAAGAGUCGGAUUGUUUGGGAAUGCAGUCCAAAAUGGGUGGUAAAUUUCAUCUAAAGCUAAAUAUUGGCGAGAGACCGAUAGCGAACAAGUACCGUGAGGGAAAGAUGAAAAGAACUUUGAAAAGAGAGUUAAACAGUACGUGAAAUUGUCAAAAGGGAAGCGUUUGACACCAGUGUUGUUUUCUCGAAAAUCAAUUAAAAAAGGCAGGAUUUUGUGUUGUAUUGACUUUAUCAGCUUUCUGCACUCUUUUCUUAUCUUUUUUAAUGCACUUUUCGUUUAACAAGUCAACAUCAAUUUCUUUUGUUGUAAAAGGGUCAUUGGAAGGUGGCUUUCUUUUCGGAGAAAGUGUUUAUAGCCUUUGGCCUCUGCAAUCGGAGAGAUUGAGGUCUGCAGCGUAGAUCCUUCGGGGUUAGAUACAUUUGUGCUAAGUUAUAGCCUUUCAUAGACAACUUGUUGACUAUGAUCAGUCAUGUAGCUUACUCGCUUAUGCUAUUUUACCUACGCUUAGGAUGUUGAUGUGAUACUGCGAGCA
rnacentral:rRNA from 1 species